AUCUGUAAAAUAGGCAUAGUAAUAUUACUUAGCUCAUACAAAUGUCAUGAAGAUUAAGUAAAACAGGAAUGUUGCUUCAGAUAGGCUAUAGGUGCAUCCCAGACACUGCUCAUUCCAGGUGCCAAUUAUUUUGGGCUGAAUUGUGUCCCCCCCCACCAAAUUCACGUGGAUGGCCUAACCCCCAGUACCUCAGAAUGUGACUGUGUGGGAAUAGGGCCUUUAAUGAGGUAACUAAGUGAAAAUGUGGUCAUUAGGAUUAGGGUGGGCUCUAAUCCAACACUGACUGGUGUCCUUGUAAGAUUAGGACAAAACACACAGAGGGAAGACCAUGCAAAGACAGGGAGGAAAAGAUAGUCAGGAGGCCUCAGAAGAAACCAACCCUGCCCACACCUUGAUCUUGGACUUUUAGCCUCCAGAACUGAGAAAAUAGAUCUCUGUUGCUUUAAGCACCCAGUCCGUAGUAUUUGUUAUGGCAGCCCCAGCAAGCAAAUAUGCCAGUCCUGGCCCGAGGGCACUGGAGUCCCCUAAUUGCAGGGUGCUGCAUAAAUCCUACUUUGUGAGCCACGACACAAAAGAACGUUGAGGAGCACCAAGGUACAGACAGACCUAAGACACUUGGCUUCAGUCCUGGCCUAUAGUAUAAAGACUCAAUAUGUGGCAGAUAUUAUUAUCCAAUUCAUGAAAACCUAGAUGUAAGCAUCUAUAACGGGAAUAUCACUAUAUUCUUCAGCAUUAUGUGACUGGUUGCUCACAGUUCCUAAACACAGGGAACUGACUGCAGAAAACAGUAGAGGUAGAAAAAUGUUCAAGAAGCAGACACAAGCACAUGUGUAAAUAACUGAUUUUGAUGGCAGGAGCUCGAGUCUUCCCAAAGCUAGCCCUCUAACUCAGAGAAAACCAGAGACUCACUUUUGAAAGCGAUAAGGUGCAUCUCAGUAACCCAAAGCAUAAUGUUCUACUUCCUAAGAAGUAUACUUUGUAUUUCCGCACUUAUUAAAACAAUUUUAAAAACUGUACAAGUUUAAUACAAAAUAAGUUGUGAAACACUGAGCCAAAAAUUUCUCAAACACGUAAGAGACAUUUUUACGUGCAUGACAUUUCCUUUGGAUACAGAGUCACUGAACUUUAGAAUUUGGGAUUUCAGAGGGCAGAAGGUGUUUUUGGGACACAAAAGAGAAGCUAGAUUUAUAAAGCUAUCAUUUUCUCCUUUCCCUUUGACAGACAGGCAAAUAAACCAGAACUCUUCCGGAAGAUAUUUUUAUGGCUGAAACUGGCUCUCAAGUUAGAAGCAGUGUAUUCAGAAUCUGACCACCUGUAACAUCUCCACUGCCACCCCUGGUCCAGGCCCACCACUGUCUCUGCGGCAGCCUCACAGGUCUCCCCACUUCUGCUCUAGCUUCCCUGCUGCCCACAGAGAAGAAUUUGUGGGCUUGUCCACUCCUAGUACCCCAAUGCCUAGAAUUGGGCCUGGCACGCUGUUCCAGAAAUCCCUGAUGAAUGAAUGAAUUUCACAGGAUGCAAACGAAGGCCCACACAUGACUGCUGCAGACUCCACGAGGAAUUCACAACGCUUCAAAAGCAUUCAUGCACUGUUAGCCUGUAUGCUGCACAUACUACCGACGGACUGUCCCAUCCUCCAGAAACAAAAUUAAGUGAUCCUAACACAGGCAAGGGAACUGAGUUUAAAGAAAAGAAAGAACAAAAUCCCACUGAAGUAGGUAGCAGCAAGGGAUGGGGGCAACCUGGAGUGCAGCCAGGCAGCUUCCCUUCUACAGCAUUUACUGGAAGACGCAUGCUACACAUCUCUUCGAGCUCCAUCGGGGCAGAGGACACUGGCGCCAGCUUGGGUGAAUCUGCAUCUUUGCAUGAUCAACUCCCACCACUCCAAAGGUGAAAGCCAGGCCACUGCCAUUAUCUUUCCAUAGCUUCUCAAACCACAGCCAGGGCCCACCCUGUUCCCAGUUUGUUUCCAGAUUCCAAGACUGACUACCUGCUUGUCAAAUUCUGUGUGGGAAACAUUAACAAUGUUCACAUUACCAUUUGAUGCUAUCUGGGUUUAUGACAUCUCAGAAAGUCUUUCUGUUGACAUAUGUUUUAAACAAUGGAAAUUCUUUCCAGGAACACAGUCCUUCAGAAUAUAUCCGGACUGGACCACCUGGACCACAUCCACUGCUACCACACGUUGCAAGCCCCUGAUUAGUACAACAGCCUCCUAAUGGGUCUCUCCACCCUUGUCUCACCUCACCCCACAGAGAAGCCAGAAUGAUCCUAUUAAAAUUCUAAGGCACCUCCUA